rnacentral:rRNA from 1 species
CCUACGGGAGGCAGCAGUGAGGAAUAUUGGUCAAUGGACGAGAGUCUGAACCAGCCAAGUAGCGUGAAGGAUGACUGCCCUAUGGGUUGUAAACUUCUUUUAUAUGGGAAUAAAAUGUUCCACGUGUGGGAUUUUGUAUGUACCAUAUGAAUAAGGAUUGGCUAACUCCGUGCCAGCAGCCGCGGUAAUACGGAGGAUCCGAGCGUUAUCCGGAUUUAUUGGGUUUAAAGGGAGCGUAGGGGGAUUGUUAAGGUAGUUGGGAAAGUUUGCGGCUCAACCGUAAAAUUGCAGUUGAAACUGGCAGUCUUGAGUACAGUAGAGGUAGGCGGAAUUCGUGGUGUAGCGGUGAAAUGCUUAGAUAUCACGAAGAACUCCGAUUGCGAAGGCAGCUCACUGGACUGUAACUGACACUGAGGCUCGAAAGUGUGGGUAUCAAACAGGAUUAGAUACCCGAGUAGUC